rnacentral:rRNA from 1 species
AAUGAACGCUGGCGGCAGGCCUAACACAUGCAAGUCGAACGGAUCCUUCGGGAUUAGUGGCGGACGGGUGAGUAACGCGUGGGAACAUACCCAAAGGUACGGAAUAGCCUCGGGAAACUGGGAGUAAUACCGUAUGUGCUCGAAAGAGGAAAGAUUUAUCGCCUUUGGAUUGGCCCGCGUUGGAUUAGGUAGUUGGUGGGGUAAUGGCCUACCAAGCCGACGAUCCAUAGCUGGUUUGAGAGGAUGAUCAGCCACACUGGGACUGAGACACGGCACAGACUCCUACGGGAGGCAGCAGUGGCGAAUCUUAGACAAUGGGGGAAACCCUGAUCUAGCCAUGCCGCGUGAUCGAUGAAGGCCUUAGGGUUGUAAAGAUCUUUCAGGUGGGAAGAUAAUGACUGUACCACCAGAAGAAGCCCCGGCUAACUCCGUGCCAGCCGCCGCAGUAA